AAUUUUAAAUCCUUUAAUACACCUCCUCAGAAAUUGUUUUGGAAAAUUGCAAAAGACGCACAAGAAACAAUAAGACAGAAGGGGCAUCUAAUCCAGAUAGCGUGAGGGAUUAAGGGAGGGCUUCCUGGAUUCUAGAGAAAAACAAGUAGCAUUUACCCAAUUAAUCAAACAACGGGAAAUAAAGGGAGUUGCAUAUGAAGGCAUGGUAGCAUGAGAGAACCUUAGCUGAAAAUGUUUAACUCAUUAUGAGCUUGCAAAUACGGCUAGUCCUAAAUAGAAACCUUCAGAUCUUUGUAAAAUGGGUGGAGGGGGAGGAGUUAUGUUACAAGGGAAACAUAGUGCCCUCAAACCUCUACUGCCAAAUAUUUCCUGAAAGCGAGAAGAGAGAAUAACCUGUGCUCAGACUGCUGGGAGGCCAAUGGGUAGAACCUCUUGGGCCUGGCUGAAGACAUGUUCAUUCUUAAGGUCUUCCUUUAUUCAUUCAACCAAUAUUUUCAGGGUGUCUACUUUAUGCUAGAUACUGUUCUAGAUACUGGAGACAGAGCAAUGAACAAAACAGAUCAACAUUCCUACUCUCAUGGAACUUUCAGAAUGAAGUUUAUCCAGCUCUAGCAAAGACCCACCUGGCAGAUAUGAAUUAUCAUCUGGGAUCCCUGUGCUAGCAUGAAGAACUUCCUUUACUAUUUUUUGUAAGGAAAGAAAACUCCUUACGGAGCUAAAGAUAUUUUCUUCAAGGGGCAUUGAAGUUUCCCCUGACUAUAAUUUUCAAAUUUUAAAGGUCUGCUAUCAGGUUUUUUUUCAACAGAGUUCAAACUAGUAACUUAAAAAGAAUUUGCCCCUUUUCUUCAACCACAUCGGAAUUUAGGAAUCGCCAAAAUGAGUUUUCAACAUAACUUUUAAAAUUGGUACUGGAACUGCUGCCUAGAGAGGAACAUCCUGGGAGAAAGCCAUUUUGAAACCAGAACUUUGGAG